GAGGUGGCCAAGCGGCCUGGGAAGUGUGCAGUGUGACCAUCAAGAUGAGAAAUAGGAAGGAGCCAGGAGGUCCAUUCCAGAUGCAUUACUCUCUCCAUCCUCUCCACAGAUUCCAGUCCCAUAAGAGGCUCCAAAGCAACAGCAAUAAUGACACCAUGCCUUGGGCUCCUGCGUCGGCUGGAAGGCAGAGGAAGGCUGCAGGGAGGAUUCUGGGGUCCAGUUGUGCAGGAGCCCAUGGGUCCAGCUGCGCACAGUAGGGCCGAGGAAGCUUGGUCCUGGGUGCAGGUGUGUGUUGAGGGACUGGAGGCCACGGGGCAGACAGUACAGAGGUCAGAGGGGCUGAGCACCUGAAGGGAGGGCUUACCUCCUUCCCUAACUGUCUUGUUCAGCCCCAUCAAACUCUCACAAGGAAAAGUGGCCAGAGCUCCUGAACCCUUGGAUAUCUCCCCCUGAGCCCCACCAACCAGAAAAAAUACAGUAACUGGGAAGUGAAAGAAUUGAACAAGGCACUGUGUCUCCCAUGACAGAACGCAGGGCACCUGCUACACCGAACAACUCUGUCCAUCUACAGAUAUGAAGAGAAGAUGCUGGCCAGGCAGGGCAGCAGGGCUCAGCACAAUUCUUCAGAAGAGCAGAACUGGAGAAAAUGAUUCCAUGCACAACAGUACACAAGAAACAAGAAGUAACUAAAAACCUGAAUUCAUGCUUUCAGUGAGACACAAGAGUCUGCUGCAUUGACAAAAUGAGAGCAAUUAAUCAUGAAAAAGGAGCAUCCUGCAAAAAGGAAUCAUUGGAGAUGAAAAUUAUAACUGCUGAACUUAAGAACACUGGGAGGCAGGGAGCUGCCCACUGGCAGCCAGAGGAGAGUGAGCAGGACCCGGAGCGCUGGUUUGAUAAAUGCACCAGGAACCUGAGAGCAUAAGCCACAGAGGAGGAGACUGUGAGACAAGAAGAGGAGCCCAGAGAAAGCCCACUGUGCGGAGCCUGCUUUCCCUGCAUGGGAAAGAGACCCCAUGGAUAAGGAGGGCAGACUGGACACUGAAAUGUCAGAAGAGGACACCUAUUAAACUGACCUAAAGUUCUGAGUGGUUGGUGAUUGAAAGAUGGAGAAGCAAUGAAGAGACAUUCACGUGGAUACCCACAUAUGCAGGGAAAGUGCCCACACAUGUUUGGACUGGAGACAAACUACAAGAGUUGAUGUCCUUGAGGAGGGAGACUGGGACUAUCCAAAGAUGGCAUGAGUCCCCCACACAUGCUCUUUCAAAACUUUGCCCCACCUUCAUCAGGAAAUGGCAUCUAAUUCCCUUUCCCUUGAAUCCAGGAAGGGCUUGUGACUCUCCUGGAACUGACAGAAUACAGCAGAAAUGAGGCAGUGUGACUUCUGAGGCUAGGUCCUGAAAGGCAAUGCAGCUUCUGCCUUGUGAGCUAUUAUAGAACACACCUGUGGGGCUCUGAACCACUUUGUAAGACGUCUGCAGCCACCAUGCUAGGAGGAAGCCCAAGCUACACAGAGGUAUCAUGUGCAGUUGUUGCAGCUAACUGAGGGCCCAACUGACAGCACUACUCUCUGCCAAAUCAGUAAAUUAAGACACCCUGACGGCUCCUGCCCUGGCCAUUGGGUCAUCCCAACCUCUAAGCCUUCCUAUCUGAAGCUGCACUUUGUGGAGCAGAAAGAAACACUCCUUCUUGUGCCUGUUCGGCAUUCAUGACUCUCAUAAUCUGUGAGUAAAAAAAAAUGGUUGUUUUAAAUCACUACGUUUUGAGAUAAUUUGUCGCACAACAAUAGUAAGUAGAAUUUCAACUUGAUGUAUAAUGGCUUAUUUCUCUGCAAAAAAAUCUAAAUAAAAUACAACAAAAUGCUAACAUUUUUUCAUUUGGGGAGGUGGGUACAUGUGUUAUAUUUGUUAGACUUUUCUUUGAAAGCUUCCUUACUUUUAUCUAACAUGAAAUACAAAUUGUUGAAACUUCCAGUAAAUUUACAAGUGCUAAUGCUAAAAAAUAAUUCUAAAAGACCCACAAAAAAGAUAUUUACAUUUUACUUUGUAUAUUUAAGGAUUAAAAAAUGGAGAUGAAAAUACAGAACUAUAAAGUGGGCAAUAAAGAUCACAAGCAGGCAUCACUGGAAGUGCUAUAGUAAUGGUUCUACACAGUAGCAAAUUCCGAUAUUGUUUCCCAUGACUUGUAAAUGAGCUAAACAUUUUCAUAAUAGUCUGGAAAAUGUUAGCAUGCUACAGCAGCAUUAUUUGUAUGAUAUCCAUUUUAGAAUAACUAUGGAUUUUGGCCUGAUAAAAACAGGCAUCCAGGAAUAAUUUGUCAAUACACUAUGUCAGGCUUUGAAAUUUGGGU
ensembl:lncRNA novel transcript, antisense to SLC22A3